rnacentral:rRNA from 1 species
UACAGAGGUGGCAAGCGUUGUUCGGAAUUACUGGGCGUAAAGGGCGCGUAGGCGGCCUUCUAAGUCAGACGUGAAAUCCCCCGGCUUAACCUGGGAACUGCGUCUGAUACUGGGAGGCUUGAGUAUGGGAGAGGGAUGUAGAAUUCCAGGUGUAGCGGUGAAAUGCGUAGAUAUCGGGAGGAACACCAAUGGCGAAGGCAGCUCGCUGGGACGUUACUGACGCUGAGACGCGAAAGCGUGGGGAGCGAACAGG